GUUGCAUAAAAUAAGAGGGAUAAAAAGAAGUGGCGGCAAGGUCUAAUAGAUAAUGUCAAAUAUUAUCCAUAUGGUAUCCAAUUUCAAAUCUGAUUUGAACAUACCAAAUAAAAUUAGAUCCUAUCCAAAUUUGGAUGUGAGAUAGAGAAGAGAAAGGACUCUUUGGUGUGAAAAAGUCUCAUGCAAAAACUAUUUGUGUAUAGAGAUAGAUGGCAUCAAAAAUUAGUGGCGCAU
rnacentral:lncRNA from 1 species